CAGCUGGUCCACAUGUCCUUAUGUGGUUGGCUCAGCUGAGAAAAUAUCUUCUUCAUCCAAUCCCCUCUGUGUCUCUCCUCCCAAUCCCCUCCCGCAUCUCACCUGCCCCUCAUCUCCUCUCUCGAUCCGCCGCCGGCGCUCUCCGCAGAGACGGCACCCUGUCGUGCCUCCUCUCACCUUCGCCUUCUGCCUCGCGCACGACGGCCGCCGAUUCGCCGCCUCCUCUCCAGCUCCGGCUCGUCGCCGAGCUCCGUCUCCUCCACCCAACAUCCUUCUCCUCUGCCACGUCGCUCGGCAGGAGGUGCACGGACCCUGGCCGCCGCAACGCCGAGCUCGGCCACCAUGGACGCGGCGGACGACGUCGGCUUCGCCACCAUCCACCUGCACCUCGACGCCUCCUCCAGGGCCGCCGCGUUCCCCAACCCCAAGGGUGGCCGUGGUGGCGGCGGCGCGGGAGGCAUGGUCGCGCCGGGAAGAAGCGUGCAUGAGCUGCUCGAGUGCCCUGUCUGCAUCAACUCCAUGUACCCGCCGAUCUACCAGUUAAAUAGAUAAGGCUGUUGGAGUAUCUUAUAAUCAUGCUUGAUGGCUGCUGCUUCCACACGGCCUGACGUGCCGUUGCAACAUGGACUGGCAACGUUGCUACUGAUGUGUGCUAUGGCGGCAGAGCCCAGCCAUAGGAGCUUAACAAUGACUCUAGGAUGACAUGAGCGUUAAGCUUAACAGCUUAACAUGGACUGGCAGCGAGUCUGGUGACCACCCGUGCGGAACUCUGUUGGCCAUGUAUUUUCACUCCGCGGGUGAUGUUUCAGUUGUGUUAUAUUCAUGUGAUCCAUUUAUAUUUAUCUAAAUAGGAGGAGCAAAAAAUAGUUCCUGUCAGUGCUAACAGUUUGUAUGAAUAUUUCUAUUUUGACUAGGUUUGAAUGAUUACUGAAAAUUAGUCAUCGAACGUGUUGGCGGGCAUUGCGCUGCAAGUCGUGUUAGUUAUAUGUGGUCUGGUAAGAUUUCUUAAAUGUUCUCGUUGGCUUUGUGUUUUUUCUUUAGAGCAUGAACUUGAAUAGAAAAUCAGAUGUUUCACAUUGUCUACAAAAUGCAGUGGCAUGGCUAAAACUCACACUCUUGGUUAUUUAGCAUAAUAGUGAAUUCAAGUAAAACUAGGCCUUGAUAUGUCGGGUUUGCAUCUUCUCCAUUCUGUGUUUGAUGUGUUUUAGAUUGUUAAAGGUUAUUCUGGAUUUAUUGUGUGUAUGUAUGCUGCUGUGGAGUUAAGCUUUUUAUGGAAUUGAUAUACCCAAUCAUCCAAUUUAUACCUGAAGAGUUGACUUUGAUGGUUUUCUAAAUUAUGCAAACUGAUUCUUUUACUUUUUAGCAUUAAAUAGGGAAUUUUUUGGCCAGGUGGGGCUACAUCCAUGUGAUAAGUAAGUUUAUAUUAGGGCCUCAUAUUGAUUAUUGCACCAGAGCCCCGAUUCCUGGAGAUGAACGAACGGAUGCAUCUCCUCAGUUUUUUCGCUGUAAGAUGUGAUUCUGGUUGUGGCUCUAUGACCACCUCUCGGACUGUGUUCUUCCCGUUGAGUGUCCAACAAGAGGAAGAGGAGGAGCGCAACUGCGCUCGAGCUCGGUGGUGGGAAAGCUGGAGGAUGGUGAAGAUGAGCUUGUGUGUGCUAGACUGGCAUCUCUGCAUGCUAUCGUGUAGGCCUGGCACCCUGCAAACCUGGAAGUGCACACUAUAUUGUCUUUUUACAUGCAUAUGUAAAUGUUCGGAGGUACAUGCAUGCUGUGUCGCUUUGAGAGGAUAUCUCCAGGAAGACGCAUGUUGAUGCACCCGCUGCUGAUGGUACACGAACUGUAGCGCCCGGCAGCGUGGGCGAGCGAGGCUGCGAUUGGAGUAGUUAGAACGAUAUGAGCGCUGCUGGGCCACCUCCGACUUGCCAGCAUUUCGCCGCCGCAACCGCCCAUCCAGAGUCAUUUGUCUCUGAGUUCCAUACUAUAAUGGUCUUCAUCCUUGCUGGAUGCCCGAACCAUUACCAUAGGGUGAUACCUAGGAGGAGCUAGCAUUGGUUUAAUUACAACGGAGUUGAGAGGAUCGAUCCCAGUCUGGCCAAUUCACUUCCAGUGUUAUGCUUGUAAUCUCUUGGGUGAAUUCUUGAUGCCUGGACCGUUGCUCAUCUUCCUCCCUACUUGAAAAAUGGUGCUUUUCAUACAUCACUCUUUGCUUCGAAAUUAAUUAGGAAAAAAAAUUAUGCUUCCAUAGAUCUGCUCAAAAUUGCCCUAGCACACCGUAGCAUGAAAUUUUCCUACUAGCUAUAUCAGAAAGAUUACUAUUUACCUUCUAUCUGGUUAUGCAGUGGAAAUAGGAAUCAGUAAAUAGUUUCAUCGUCAUCCUACCUCCGAAGUAGUGCUUUCACUUUGAAACUAAUUUUCUUCUCUGAUUCUCAUCAUAUUUUAAUUAUAGGCCAGAAAAUAUAUUUGGGGUGGUUAUUAUAGCUACGAAUGAAAAUCAUGUACUUAUGUCAUAUCUGAGCUCUGCAAUGUGGUCAAAGAUUGGUCUUUUUAAUCUACCACUGAGGAGCUCUUUUUUAUUCAGGGUUAGUAUGAAUUAUUAGCUGAAGGAGGUUCAUAAUAACACAUCUCAUGUAGGCUAGCUAUUUACAGAAUGAUUGCACCAAGGGAGCAACACAGGGCAUGUAGCAACUUGAUGAUGGAGAAAUGUAAAAAAAAUCAACAGACAUGAGUUCACAGUAUUAUUUUCUUCAGGAGGUAUGAUACUCGCAGCAGCCUAUGAGACAUUUUACAUAUUUACAGUUGAAAUACAGAGAUGAUCUAUGGAAUUUUUUCUUUACUGAUUCAUUCUGUUGUCAGCUCACAAUGUUAGUAUUAUAUAGCUUCAAGUUAACAAUACAGCUAAAUUGAUAGAAAUGAUUAUACUAUAAGUGCUUUGAAAUUCGUCCUUCCCAGUAUAUUUCUCACUGUACAAUCCUGUUGACAUAAUCAAAUAUGUGUUGGGGGUGCUUUUUGCAGGAUAUAAGAAUUGGGUUUUGAUUAAUAAUGGGAUUAUGCAGCAACAAUGCAUCUUCACCAGUCAGAUGGAACUGUUAAGGGUGAAAGGGAUAAAGAAAUAAUAAUUUUAAUGUCAAAAUAUACACUCUACAAUAUGAAACCAUUUCCUUCUCUACAAAAGAAAUUAAGAAAGGAAAGGAAUGCCUUUCCAGAUCAUUUAAACUUGAAGAGAAGAUUGUGCAUACUAUAUCUACAGUAAGCAUGAGAAAUCUUAGCAGCCAUGAGAAAUGCCUUUUGCAUAUUUGCAGUUCAAAUACAGAGAUGCUCUAUGGAAUUUCGUCUUUACUGAUUCAUUAUGUUGUCAGCUCACAAUGUUAGUAGCUUUGCUAGAAUGCAUGCUAUUUACUACUGUAUGAUUAAUAUCAUAUUGAUGUGAGCAAUUGGUUUAAUUAUUAUAUAGCUCCAAGUUAAUAAUACGACUAAAUGGAUAGAAAUGAUGAUACUAUAAUUGCUUUGAAAUUCGUCCUUUCUUCCCAGUAUAUUUCCACAAUACUGUUGACAUAAUCAAAUAUGUGUUGGGGUGCUUUUUGUAGGAUAUAAGAAUUGGGUUUUGAUUAAUAAUGGGAUUAUGCAGCAACAAUGCAAUCUUCACCACUAAACUUUCAGAUGGAACUGUUAAGCGUGAAAGGGAUAAAGAAAUAAUAAUUUUAAUGUCAAAAUAUACACUCUUCAAUAUGAAACCAUUUAUUCUCUGCAAAAGAAGUUAAGAACGGAAAGGAAUGGCUUUCCAGAUCAUUUAAACUUGAAGAGCAGAUUGUGCAUGAGAAGUCUUAGCAGCCAUGAGAAAUGCCUUUGCCUUUUUGGUAUCACCAUUGUAUUUGGUUGCCAAAAGUGGUUCGGUCUCUUUAUCUUGCAUCUACAAAAGCAUUAGAUGUGUGAAACUGAUAUUUGGUAGCAAAUUGAACUGUACUUCACAGAUGGUUGGAUUUAGUUGUGUCGCUUCAGGUUGCAGGAUAAGAUCCUUCUAGACCAUUUCACUUCCUAACCACAAAUGUUCAAUAUAUGUUGAAUUGUUUAUGAUUUAUUUGCAUUUGUCAUCGAACUGCAUGCCUUUUAAUUUAAAUCAUCUCCGAUGUGUGCAUAAAUGAACUGUUUUGAAUUGCUUCUCAGUUCUGAAAUCAGCUCCUUUCUUGAUGCAUUGUUAUGAUAUUUCCGCAGUGCUGUAAAUAUUUUGACUACCUCUCAUCGAACAGCUUAUUUCGCACUUUACACUGUUGGGCCCUCUCUGGUGAUUACUUCAAAAUUAAUUAUGUUAAAUGUGGCUGCCUCUUGAGAGAGCUAUUAAAUUAUUGUUUAGCUAAAAAGGAGGUACGAUAUAUUUUCAUCUGGUUUGUAUUGUAAACACAUGCUGUGAUACUACAGAUACACAAUAUUUUACCAAACGAUUGACUGUGCGAGAGGCUUGGUGGCUUGCAGAUUGAUAGACUUAUUUUCUGACUAUUAUCAUCGAUAUGUAUAAAUGUUUGAUGCAUUUUACCACCUAUUCAUGAGUGCAGAUGACGAGGUUU